UCUCAAGCCUCGGUUUCUUUAUUUGUAGCUUGAGGCAGUGACACCUGCCUCAUGGGGUCGCUGUGAGACAGAGUGAGGCCUCUCUGCCCACAUGCGCUGCAGCAUCCGGCACACUGUGUGCUCAGUAGGCAGAGACUGUCAUCCUUCUUGUUACAACAACCACCACAGUUGUCCCUGGUAUUUGCCAGUGUAUUAGUCCAUUCUCACACUGCUAAGAAAGACCUAAACGAGACUGGGUAAUUUAUAAAGAAAAAGAGGUUUAAUGGACUCACAGUUCCACAUGGCUGGGGAGGCCUCACAAUCAUGGUGGAAGGCAAAGGAGGAGCAAAGACACAUCUUACAGGGCGGCAGGUGACAGAGUGUAUGCAGGGGAACUGCCCUUUAUAAAACCAUCGGAUUGUGUGAGACUUAUUCACUAUCACAACAACAGCACGGGAGAAACCCGCCCCUAUAAUUCAAUUACCUCCCACCAGGUCCCUCCCACAACACGUGGGGAUUAUGGAACCUACAAUUCAAGGUGAGAUUUGGGUGGGGACACAGCCAAACCCUAUCAGCCAGUGAGACUUUGGGACCCACCCUUCCAGGCUGCGGCUCCCUCACUCUCAUCCUCACGCACUUCUGCGGUGCCUGAGCUGCAGUCACCGUGGUAACUGGGAUUGACCUUUUAAAGUAUCUGUUAUAACUACAAGCUUAGUGUCAAAAUACUAUUAACCUGUUUUGCCUUUACAGACUUAUUUUUAAAAUAGUGUGAAUUCAGUUGUGUUUGAUUAGCAGCUUUUCACUGGAGUUGCCGCCCAGCGCAGCGAGGGGUCUUCUGCAGGCCUCGCUGCCUCUGCACUCCUGUGCCUCCAACGGAGCAGCCAUUAGUUGGACCAGGCUGGUCUUAUUCUCCAGCUUCCUCAUUAUUUGGGGUGAGUUCCUCACAGCCUCCUGUUAGUUCUCCUGAUUUUGUGUAUUCUUAUUCUCAUGUUGCCCAUGUUUGGCCUAAGAGAAGGCGCCUCUUGGCCGGCUUCCUGGAGGACUCUUGCUUUCUUGCAUGCCACAGCAGUGACAGCUCCGGCAAGGCCCUCCUGGUAAAGUCAUUGGCAGAUCCCUGUCUUUGAAAGUGUUCAUAUUUGGAAGAAAAUGAGUCCAAAGCUGCGAAUGUCCGUCCUCCUGCCAGAGAGGCAGACAGCUGAGUGCUAUUGUUUGGGAAUCUGUAAGAACUUUGCUAUGGCAAAAUCCCUGGCCACCAACAGCAGCCUCCUGAGGAGAGCACUGAGAUAGUAAAGGUGCCUGGAGGCGAUUUGCAUCCAUGGACCAAAAAAUUUAAUUCCCCCCGAACUUUAUCAGUGGAUGUAGCAAUAAUUGGCUUCACUAGCGCUGUGUCCGUUGGCAAGUGGAGAUCUUCUCUGUUCCUCAACUGUGUAGAGGGGGAAACACGCGGGGAAGUCAUCCACACGGCGCUGGAAACACCACCGGACCCGCAGUGUGCAGAGCCCCAGGGCUGUGGACUCAAGGUCUCUAGGAACUGUAUUCAGGGGAGAGGAGAGGGUGCGGAGGACAUGACAGGUAGCCAUAGAAACCAGCACACAGGGUGGGGCCGGCGUCCCGUUGGAAGUUUCCAUUGUAAUACACGCUGUGUGCACCCAACACACUGGGUGCUGGGAGGGAUGAAGAAGAAGAGGCUGAAUCCUCAGGGCAUGCCUUCUCCUCCUGGCCUAGAGUGAGGGUGACGCCUGGAUGGGCAUCGUGGAAAAGCCCCUGGGGAGAUUCUGAGCAGGACUGGUGGACACAGACGUGGACAAGGUGUCCCAGAGCAUCCUGGUCAUGAUGCAGGAGAAGCUCGAACGCACGCUCAGCCCUGGUCGUGACAGAAGAACAGAGAGGAAUAAGAAACGCCUUUAGGAGCUCCCAACCCAAGGGAGUGGGAGGAUGUUCUGCACCGUUUUUCUGGAAGCUUGGGUCUAAUUUUUCAGUUACUUAGUUACUUAUGGCUUUGAGGCUGGAUAGCUUCGUAUAUUUUGUUUCCUGAAAUGACCCCACAGGUUCUACAGAGCAGGAGAAAAGGCUGGACAGGGGUCCCCACUGGAUGAGACGACCUUCCCGCCCCCUCGGUCUGGGAGUCUGUGAUCUUCAGGGCCAGCCCCCAGCUGGCAGGCCCCACCUGGAAGCUGAGUAUGCCUCUGCUGGCGGUCCCAGCCUUGGCAAGGCAGCUCUUAUUUCUCUCCAGCCUGCGGUGGUUUUGAUAAAGCGGCAUUUCUGCCUUGUUGGAGCCUGGUUAGUGAUGAUGCAUCUUAGUCCAGGCCUCUCGAGUUUGAAAUAAGAACCCCAACCCUUGGAUGAGCCAGAACUGCCUUGGUUUGCUGGUGUCAGUUCAGAGCAUUGAAAUUCCUGCUUCACUUUAAAGAAAAAUCUGUGCAGUAAGAAUCUGUGUUUCUAGACUGCGUGAGAGAACUCGGAACUUUCUGUCACUUAUUUUUAGAGAUGUCCCAACAAUGAUUCCCUCUGCCAAGCCUCUGCCUGGGGGAACCCACCUUCCUGUCUCAGGUGCGAUGGAAUGGGAGCACUGGAGACACAGACAGCUGAACGUCGC
rnacentral:lncRNA from 1 species